AGCCGACAAAUCCGAGAUUGAACAAUGAUUGCUACAAAGCCAAUUAUUUAUAUAUAUGUGAUCUUCGUCAGCGGAUCCUGCACGAUUGCUGAAGAUACUGCAGACAUAGUAAAUACAGCACUAGCAGAAACUGAGAAGCCUUCAGUCAAAUGGACAGCAGAACAAUAUACUCACAAGGGGUGGAGCGAAGACUUGGUGAAAGACAAUAUGUUUGCACUAGAAGUCAUAGAGGAGCUGCUUCGACUUCCUCCAGAAGAUAUCGCUCGUUUGUAUGAAAUGAAUAAAGAAAACAAGGGCGACCUCGAGCUUAU